CCAAAGUCGUGCUGGAUUUCACAUUUCCUGCCAAGCAUUCACUUGGAUGCGUUUAAUGUGAAGCCGGCAGGACUCGCA
ensembl:miRNA